GACGAACGCUGGCGGCGUGCUUAACACAUGCAAGUCGAGCGGAAAGGCCUGCUUUCCCUUGUGGAUUGCGGGUACUCGAGUGGCGAACGGGUGAGUAACACGUGAGUGAUCUGCCCCCAACUUGGGUAUAAGCCUGGGAAACUGGGUCUAAUUCCCGAUAGGACUGCAGGGUGGUGCCUGUGGUGGAAAACGAUUUUCUAGUGGUUGGGGAUGAGCUCGCGGCCUAUCAGCUUGUUGGUGGGGUAAUGGCCUACCAAGGCGGCGACGGGUAGCCGGCCUGAGAGGGUGGACGGCCACAUUGGGACUGAGAUACGGCCCAGACUCCUACGGGAGGCAGCAGUGGGGAAUAGUGCACAAUGGGCGGAAGCCUGAUGCAGCGACGCCGCGUGGGGGAUGACGGCCUUCGGGUUGUAAACUCCUUUCGACCGCGAGGAAGCCACCUGGUUGGAAGGGUGGUGACGGUAGUGGUAGAAGAAGCACCGGCUAACUACGUG
rnacentral:rRNA from 1 species